GAGCAACAGAGAAUCGGGCCUCAAGUGUACAGGAACUUCAGACCAUUCAGAAGGGGAGAUUCCCAGCUUCUUAAUGGUAUAGCACUUGGAUGUAGUCCUGGAAGAUCCCAAGAUACAGUUUCACAAAAAUCAAGAGAAAAGUCAUAAAAGACCAGAUGAAUACUUCAGAAAGGAUAACUAAGCUGGACUGGAACUUACGUACAGCACACUGAGAGUCAGGCUCCCCUUGAGGUGGAACUACAGCAGAAUGAAAAGAACCUGCUUUUCUCAGUUCUGAGAAGUCCUCACCAUUGAGCUCCGAUCCAGCAGGCAUUGCGGAUGCCUUGGAUUUGAAGAUGGCACAAGCUAACUCCAAAACUGUGGUUCCUAUUGUCCAGAGCGCUAUCUCCACAGUGGCAAGUGAAAAACAGUUCUUGAAAAAAGUCAGUAACAGCCAAUUGGACAGAUUCUAUGGAGAAUUAGGAGCAUGGCCCAGAAUGAUUCCAAGGCCUCCACUACCCUCAGUCCAGCAGAGCCUUCAUAAAUUGCUGACCCUUGGUACCUUGAGCAGGUAAACGUGGUGGAGGCCCUGAUGUAGAGGACUAUCUGGCUGGGUCAGAUAGACAACAGUCUUUUUUGUAAUAAAGACUCAAAAAUUGACAUACAGGUCUGUCGCAUCUUUGGUGCAUUUAACAUGUGCGAUUUCAGCUUUAUGCGGUUGGCAAAAACAAAAAAAGAGAGAAAAAUAACAAUUUAAAUACUGUUUCAGUAGU